ACCAGCUAAAAAUAUAAUCUGGUGAGACUGAUGGGCUGGUUCACAGAAUCUGGAUUUGACAAGGAUAUGCUAAUGUCUAAUGUGGUACAGAGCCUACAGGAAGGUACACCCAGGUGCUACUACUUAAGUCUCUUACCCAGCUGGGACAAUCCCGAACCACUACAGUGACAUCUCCAAACACACGCGAGGUGUACUCCAUGAAGGCAGGGUUGUUCAGACUGCUCUCCAGGUCGCAGGGUCCCACCAGAGCUCCAUGGCCCAGGUAGCUCCAAAGCAGGCCUCCUUGCAGCUGUCCCUGGCUCAUGAUCUCCUCCCCAGGCCCGACUCCUCCAGGACACUCACUGCCCAGAGCCACAAUGUGGAUAGACCUAUAAGCCAUGAACACAAGAGUAAGGAGGCAUCAUCCCACAGACAGAUGUGUAGCAGUGAGACAGGACACCUCUCUAAGGAUGGGACAGUAAUACAUUUUGUUAUACAUGAAGAUAAAAAGCAUUCACAAUAAGUCAAUAUUGGCAAAAUUGGGGAAUGGGGAAAGUCAUGUAUAUUUAACAUGAACAGUUUAAAAUGUUCAUACCACACAGGGAUUUAUUAAAGCUGACUGCAUCUUUUCACUGGUUCCAGAUUCAUAAUGA